UACGGAGGGUGCAAGCGUUAUCCGGAUUCACUGGGUUUAAAGGGUGUGUAGGCGGGCGUUUAAGUCAGAGGGGAAAUCUCCGAGCUUAACUUGGAAACUGCCAUUGAUACUAUUCGUCUUGAAUUCUGUUGAGGUGGGCGGAAUAUGUCAUGUAGCGGUGAAAUGCAUAGAUAUGACAUAGAACACCGAUUGCGAAGGCAGCUCACUAAGCAGACAUUGACGCUGAGGCACGAAAGCGUGGGGAUCAAACAGG
rnacentral:rRNA from 1 species